rnacentral:sRNA from 1 species
AGGAAAACUUACAGGGGAAGGGUGAGAACCUUUGAUAAGGUUCGAGUCGAGCGAUAGCGAGACAACGUUGCCGCACCCACCGCCCCGCCGCCCCCCCACCGCACCCCCGACCCACCCCCCCCCCCCCACCC